rnacentral:rRNA from 1 species
UACGGAGGGGGCGAGCGUUGUCCGGAAUCAUUGGGCGUAAAGGGCGCGUAGGUGGCCCGGUCAGUUCGUGGUGAAAGCGCGGGGCUCAACCCUGCGUCGGCCAUGAAUACUGCCGCGGCUGGAGCACUGUAGAGGCAGGCGGAAUUCCGGGUGUAGCGGUGGAAUGCGUAGAGAUCCGGAGGAACACCAAUGGCGAAGGCAGCUCGCUGGGACGUGACUGACGCUGAGACGCGAAAGCGUGGGGAGCAAACAGG